UGGGGAAUAUUGGGCAAUGGGGGAAACCCUGACCCAGCAACGCCGCGUGAGGGAAGAAGGUUUUCGGAUCGUAAACCUCUGUCCCGGGGGAAGAAACAAAUGACGGUACCCCGGGAGGAAGCCCCGGCUAACUACGUGCCAGCAGCCGCGGUAAUACGUAGGGGGCGAGCGUUGUCCGGAAUGACUGGGCGUAAAGGGCGCGUAGGCGGCUUUGUAAGUUUGGUGUGAAAGGCCUCCUUUCAAGGGAGGUAUUGCAUUGGAAACUGCAGAGCUUGAGUGCGGGAGAGGAAAGUGGAAUUCCCAGUGUAGCGGUGAAAUGCGUAGAGAUUGGGAGGAACACCAGUGGCGAAGGCGACUUUCUGGACCGUAACUGACGCUGAGGCGCGAAAGCGUGGGGAGCAAACAGGAUUAGAUACCCCCGUAGUCC
rnacentral:rRNA from 1 species